CCUACGGGUGGCAGCAGUGGGGAAUAUUGCACAAUGGGCGAAAGCCUGAUGCAGCAACGCCGCGUGAAGGAAGAAGGCCUUCGGGUCGUAAAAUUCUGUCCUCGGGGAAGAAGAACGGACGUUACUCAAGGAGGAAGCCCCGGCUAACUACGUGCCAGCAGCCGCGGUAAUACGUAGGGGGCAAGCGUUAUCCGGAAUUAUUGGGCGAAAAGAGUACGUAGGUGGCAACCUAAGCGCAGGGGUAAAGGCAAUGGCUCAACCAGUGUUCGCCCUGCGAACUGGGGUGCUUGAGUGCAGGAGAGGAAAGCGGAAUUCCUAGUGUAGCGGUGAAAUGCGUAGAUAUUAGGAGGAACACCAGUGGCGAAGGCGGCUUGCUGGACUUUAACUGACACUGAGGUACGAAAGCGUGGGGAGCAAACAGGAUUAGAUACCCGGGUAGUC
rnacentral:rRNA from 1 species